UCUCGGCGUCGAGCGGGCUCGACGGACGGGUGAGUAAAGUCUGGGAAAUUGCCCUGAUGUGGGGGAUAACCAUUGGAAACGAUGGCUAAUACCGCAUGAUGUCUACGGACCAAAGAGGGGGACCUUCGGGCCUCUCGCGUCAGGAUAUGCCCAGAUGGGAUUAGCUAGUUGGUGAGGUAAUGGCUCACCAAGGCGACGAUCCCUAGCUGGUCUGAGAGGAUGAUCAGCCACACUGGAACUGAGACACGGUCCAGACUCCUACGGGAGGCAGCAGUGGGGAAUAUUGCACAAUGGGCGCAAGCCUGAUGCAGCCAUGCCGCGUGUAUGAAGAAGGCCUUCGGGUUGUAAAGUAAAUUCAGCAGUGAGGAAGGGAGUAGUUUUAACAGAGCUACGUUUUGACGUUAGCUGCAAAAGAAGCACCGGCUAACUCCGUGCCAGCAGCCGCGGUAAUACGGAGGGUGCGAGCGUUAAUCGGAAUUACUGGGCGUAAAGCGCAUGCAGGUGGUCUGUUAAGUCAGAUGUGAAAGCCCGGGGCUUAACCCCGGAGUUGCAUUUGAAACUGGCAGGCUAGAGUACUGUAGAGGGGGGUAGAAUUUCAGGUGUAGCGGUGAAAUGCGUAGAGAUCUGAAGGAAUACCGGUGGCGAAGGCGGCCCCCUGGACAGAUGUCGACACUCAGAUGCGAAAGCGUGGGGAGCCCACAGGAUUAGAUACCCUGGUAGUCCACGCCGUAAACGAUGUCUACUUGGAGGUUGUGACCCUAGAGUCGUGGCUUUCGGAGCUAACGCGUAAGUAGCCGCCUGGGAGUACGGUCGCAAGAUUAAAACUCAAAUG
rnacentral:rRNA from 1 species